rnacentral:lncRNA from 1 species
AUGGAACCAAAUAACACAAUCAAACAUCAAUAGUAACAUUUUUAUGUAACAUGUGUUGGAACGCCGGCACCUAUACGACGCAGCGGAAAAUUAAAACAUUCAGUGAUCCUAACCAUGGAUCCAUGUGUGAGGAACGAAUUGGGGUGAAAUAAAGGUUUUGAAAUUACCGAAUCUUUAUACUGAGUAGACAGUAAUGCCUCAGCAACGAGUAAUCUGAUCUACUAUCGAAUCAAGCCGCAAUCUAUCGUGACUCUGGC